rnacentral:rRNA from 1 species
GACGAACGCUGGCGGCGUGCUUAACACAUGCAAGUCGAACGGAAAGGCUCCAGCUUGCUGGAGUACUCGAGUGGCGAACGGGUGAGUAACACGUGGGUAAUCUGCCCUGCACUCUGGGAUAAGCCUGGGAAACUGGGUCUAAUACUGGAUAUGACCUUUCUCCUUAUGGGGUUUGGUGGAAAGUUUUUCGGUGUAGGAUGAGCCCGCGGCCUAUCAGCUUGUUGGUGGGGUGAUGGCCUACCAAGGCGACGACGGGUAGCCGGCCUGAGAGGGUGAUCGGCCACAUUGGGACUGAGAUACGGCCCAGACUCCUACGGGAGGCAGCAGUGGGGAAUAUUGCACAAUGGGCGGAAGCCUGAUGCAGCGACGCCGCGUGAGGGAUGACGGCCUUCGGGUUGUAAACCUCUUUCAGCAGGGACGAAGCGCAAGUGACGGUACCUGCAGAAGAAGCACCGGCUAACUACGUG